AGGACAAUGCAGGGUCCAGUAAGGAAAGCUUGGAUUCACAGCAAAAACACUGUGUCUGCCUAGGUUUAGGCUGUUUUCUGGGAUGGACACUACCUGAAAUUCAACAUGUAUGCCUUAAUAACCAUGGCAGUUCUGAAGGGAGCAGAAUCCAUUUCAGGGGGAAGGAUUUAAAACCAGAAAAGAAAUGCUGAAAAUAGAGCAAGACUAAUGUCAAAGUAGCUUUCUAUAAACAUGGAACACAAAAGAUCUACUACCACAACCAUGAAGAAAAACAAGUAAACAGGUACUCUGUUCCUGAAAACACCAGAGCCCAAACGAGGAGAUAUGAAUCUCAGGCAUUUCUUGAUCCUGAAGAAGUACAAUCCCAAAGAAUGUAGGCUUAAACCAAUCCCUCACCCUGAAAAAAACCCAGGUCCAAAAAAAAAGAGAUGUAGGCCAGGGCUAGUUCCUCACCUUAAAGCACCCAGGGCCCAAAUGAAGAGGAAUGUGUACCUAGGCCAUUCCCUGAUCCUGAAGAGGCUCUGGCCCAAAGCAAGGUAUGAUAUGGGCCUGGGCCUAUUCCUAAAUCUGAAGAGGCCUAGGCCCAAAGAAGAAUAAAUGUGGGCCUGAGCCAAUCCCUGACCCUGAAUAA
rnacentral:lncRNA from 1 species